UACGAAGGGGCUAGCGUUGUUCGGAAUCACUGGGCGUAAAGGGCGCGUAGGCGGCUUUUCAAGUCGGGGGUGAAAGCCUGUGGCUCAACCACAGAAUUGCCUUCGAUACUGUUAGGCUUGAGACCGGAAGAGGUGAGUGGAACUGCGAGUGUAGAGGUGAAAUUCGUAGAUAUUCGCAAGAACACCAGUGGCGAAGGCGGCUCACUGGUCCGGUUCUGACGCUGAGGCGCGAAAGCGUGGGGAGCAACAGG
rnacentral:rRNA from 1 species